GAUGGUUCUCGGGUGAUCCAUCCCAGAAUUGGGCUCCCUCCUCUCUGGUUCCAGGUGUGUCACCCAAGAACCACC
rfam:Myotis brandtii contig161264, whole genome shotgun sequence.